rnacentral:lncRNA from 1 species
GGGCCAGUUUGCCUCGCUCCCUUGGUUGCGAUACCUCCACCCUACAUAGCACCAGGUCGCCGACCUUGAAGACCUUUUUUCAAAGUUUAGUAUUAUAGUACCAAGCAAUUGUGUGUUGAUAAGCUACCAUUUGGAUAUGCACCUUUUUUCUAGCCUCUUCAAGUAGAUCCAGAUUGGUGCACAACCUUUCUGAGUUGGUCUGGUCAUCAAAAUUCUCCAUCCUUGCCGACGGGACCCCAAUUUGAAGGAAAAGUAUCUGAUCUGAUCGGAUUGCCAGGGCAUGUUUUGAAAAUUUUUCUAUUCAAAAGCUUACAUAAUAAUU